GAUGAACGCUGGCGGCGUGCUUAAUACAUGCAAGUCGAACGAACAUUAAGAGUGCUUGCACUUUUAAUGUUAGUGGCGAACGGGUGAGUAAUACAUAGGCAACUUGCCCCAAGGACUGGGAUAACACUUAGAAAUGAGUGCUAAUACCGGAUAGGUAAUACAAAGGCAUCUUAGUAUUAUUAAAGUUGGGUAUCCAACACCAUGGGAUGGGCUUAUGCUGUAUUAGCUAGUUGGUGAGAUAAAAGCCCACCAAGGCGAUGAUACAUAGCUGGUCUGAGAGGAUGAACAGCCACAUUGGGACUGAGACACGGCCAG
rnacentral:rRNA from 1 species